rnacentral:rRNA from 1 species
CAGUAGCCACGGGAAUACGGAGGGUGCAAGCGUUAUCCGGAUUCACUGGGUUUAAAGGGUGCGUAGGCGGAUCUGUAAGUCAGUGGUGAAAUCUCCAGGCUUAACCUGGAAACUGCCGCUGAUACUAUAGGUCUUGAAUUUUGUGGAGGUUAGCGGAAUAUGUCAUGUAGCGGUGAAAUGCAUAGAUAUGACAUAGAACACCAAUUGCGAAGGCAGCUGGCUACACAACUAUUGACGCUGAGGCACGAAAGCGUGGGGAUCAAACAGGAUUAGAUACCCGCGUAGUCCCUGUCUCUUAUAC